GUAAAAAAUCAAUAAAAUAUACUGAAAAAUAAAAUAAAAAAUAAAUCUCUUCCACAUGCUACCCACUGUCUACUCUCAUUCCAGGGAAGAGAGAAGACUCCCUGAGUGCCCACUGUCAAGACAUCAAUGUCAAGAUUUAGGCUCUUACAUCCUGUUGUCUCUUGGAUAGGACAACAAUCAUGGAUAGUUCGGAUGAAAGGAAUACGUAACCCAUUUUUCUCCAGGAUCAUUUUGGUCAACCACCUCAUCUAAUAGCUUCCAGAGAAAGUGACCAUAGGAGAGGCUGCUCCUGGCUCUAGGUCCCUCUGGCCAGAAAUCCACCCCAUUAAGCCCUGGGCGGGGACUAAGAUUCCCGUUCCUGUGGAAUCGCCCCCUGAGAGGGACUGGGCACUUUCGGGGGCAGAGAAUUCGUGGGCUGCUUGGAGAGGGUCACCCUCCUGCAGGCUGGACCUACAUUUACAGCAGGCCCCCAACCGUCUCCCCAGGGGAAGAAUACGGCCAAGUUGGUAUCUGCCUUCCGGCCAGUUCCUGUUCUCAGCUUGGAGCCUGCUUGGCUUCUUCCUUCAUGGGAGAUAAGGAAGGAAUGUUUGUCCAGGUGUCACUGACUAUCUCGGGCACAGGAGUGUCUUCAGGGCGUAGUGUCAGAACCGGUCCCCCUGAUCUGGGUGUGCUGUAAACAGCAGGUUGAUUCAAAGCUGAGAGGCGUUGGGAAACCCCUUGGGCAGGAGAUUUCGAAAUGAGAUUCAGAUUAGAAAAAACAUAGUUGGGUGAGUUCUAAGGAACGAAGGAGACAGAAAAGGCUUCCAUCUGGCACUUGGUGGGUAGCGGGGAUAGAUGAUGAGCCUGGGAGGCCUGGAAUGGGAGGAAGCAGCUGAGCUGAGCACUGCUCCCCUCCCCACUGCCCACAGGACAGGAGGCCCGCUGCCUGUCCACCAGGCGAAACCACACCCAGAGCGGAGCGGAGCGGAGCGCCCAGCUAGGGCAUGUCAGCACCAGCUAGCAGCUCCAUCAGAGGCUCUGCAGAGAGGGAGGGGCCUGGGCAAAGGAGCAGGGUUGGCAGGAGUAUUAGGAGAAAAACUUAGUUACAAAAAGAUUUUAAAAGACGUGUUGGAUAAUUGAGGAAGGGACUGGUGAGGAAACGAGGAAUAAAGCUCUGAAAGCCAAAGCCUUGGUGGCCGGGCGCGAAGGGACAGCCCGGCACUGCUGACCAGAGCUGUUCCGCCUGCACCCUCAUCACACAGGCCACUGUGCUCUAGCUCAGGACACCUGCAUCGGCUGGCUCCCCGUGGUGGGUGCCUGUGACAUGAGGAGCACAGAGGGGGAUGCUGGCUGGAUCUGGAACCAGCGAGGGGACACGAGGAGAAGGAGAGGGAGACUGAGGAACAAGGGGAGGAAGAAAAGGGAGUAAAGGGCAGGAAAGGUGGAGGAGGAAAAGAAGAGUGAAGAUUAUGCUUCUCAUCUGAGGCGGGUGGCCUUGGAGUGGUGCAGUCAAGAAUGAGUCUCCAACAUGACCAAUACUUAGAAAGCUUGUCACCUCGUCAAUAAAUCCUUCUCAUGUAGUGGCAUGAAGACAGUAGUGCUCUUUGGGGACGUUGGGGGCCAUCCUGCGUGAAAACGGCGAGUGGCGCUGUAAGAAGCAGCCAACCAGUUAUGAACAAGAGGGGCUCAUAUUCACGAGCGUGCCUGCCACCUCCGCCCAGAAGCCAUGACUUCCCCCGUCUCGUGCAGAGUGGGGACCCAUCGAACCAGAACCACCACCCAGCCUCUCCCCAUCUCCUCAGAUGGCAAGCUCUGGCAUCCUUGGUCCACCCAACCCAGCCCCAAAACAUUUUGCCAAAACAUCAGUAAACAAGUAUAGGUGAAGGGGGCCACAGACCUCUGCCUUUUGUACCAUUUUCUCCUUCCCAGAGCUCAGCACAUGACUAGCCAGGGGUUUCUCAUUAUAGGCUAAAUAUUGUUUCCUCAAAGAGUAGUCAGAAGGCCCCCAAACACCUUCCUCUGAACUCACAGUAGGUGUAUUUUGUUUUUAUUUUCUAUACUAUGGACCAGGAAAUCCAAGACCUUGCCUGAACACAGGGGAAAAUGUGUCCCUCCCUCCAGCACAUCCAGAAAUCUCUCAGCCAAUGCAAACUUGGCCACAGCCGCUGGCCACCUUUCUUGCUAAGGUUGAAUCAGAGAUGAAUGUUAUUAACUACAACAUCUAAUGUUUGUUUGGGGCUUUAUACCGCACGAAGCAAACAACUGUCAUAUUUAAUUCCCACAGUAAUUCUGCAUUACUGUAUUUCCCUUUAUAGACAUUGAGUUUCAGAGAAAUAAAGCAUCUUCCUCAGUGUCAACCGGUAGACCUAGGAUUCACUCACA